rnacentral:rRNA from 18 species
GGGAAAGAUUUAUCGGUGAAAGAUCGGCCCGCGUUAGAUUAGCUAGUUGGUGGGGUAAAGGCCUACCAAGGCGACGAUCCAUAGCUGGUCUGAGAGGAUGAUCAGCCACAUCGGGACUGAGACACGGCCCGAACUCCUACGGGAGGCAGCAGUGGGGAAUAUUGCGCAAUGGGGGAAACCCUGACGCAGCAACGCCGCGUGAGUGAGGAAGGCCCUCGGGUCGUAAAGCUCUGUCAGAAGGGAAGAAAGUGCAUUGGUCUAAUAGGCCAUUGUAUUGACGGUACCUUCAAAGGAAGCACCGGCUAACUUCGUUCCAGCAGCCGCG